GUCUCCCGCCCUGUCUUUGCCAUCCCCUCAGUCCCCAGAAACCGUGGAAUCUGGAUCCCGCUAGUUGCGCCCAACCAGGCGAGGGAGAAGUUUAGGGGCGCACAGGAGCAGGACCCCGGAGGCACUGUCCUAAGCCCUUGCCUGCAUCAUUUCGUUCACUGUGUUGAUUCUAUGAGAGCCCUGCAAGGGAGUCCUAUUAUUAUCCCCCAUUUUACAGCUGAGGAGACUUGAAGCACAGAAAAGGUGCUACAACACAGAACAGGCAGGGCCUACACACUUGGUUGGAAGGCCCCAGGUCUAGUGUUGGGAUCUGGUUUUUGGAGAACCUGGAACCCGGGCAUCAUUAGUCCUGGAAAAGGUACCAACUGUCCGCAAACAGCCCAGCCCACUCUGGAAGCCUGGCCUCAGCCAAGAGCAGCACUUGAAAAUUCUGAUUCUGCGGUCACCUUCCCUAACCACAAGCCCUUCAUCAGCCCAAGCCUCUAAACCAGCCAGGUGAUGUGUCACCGCCUGGAGGGUGUUGGUGUGGCAGCACCUGGGGUUAAAAGGGACCCUCAGUUUCCAGCAAAGUUUCAUAGUCUUUGUUAGAGCUGGGAGGAAACUCAGAGGUCCCCCAACCAGAGAGUCUAAAUUACUGGAAUCAAGAAGGUCUGGAAUGGGCCUGGAAUCUGAAUAUUAAUAAGCACACACCCCACCGCAUGAGAAAUGGUUUGGCCCAGCGACCUUGCCCUCGUGGAGAAGCUGAGCCUGAGAGGGGACAUGACUGGCCCACGAUGACAAGAGAGAACUGGAUGAAAGCCUGGCUCUCUGGACCCUGGCAUAGGAUGUUUUCCAACCCAGCUGCCUGUCAAGUCUCACUUGGCAGGAGCUGGGGAGGGAGAGUUCCCACCGAAGUCUUUCGUGAGUCUGUCCCCCCAUGUCUCCUUCAGAGGUCCUGUCAAUCACACGAGAACCAUCCACUCUCCUGGAAAUGGCCUCUAAAAAAAAUGAGGUUGAAGAGUCUUGGACUGCCCAGGGCCUCCCCAAGGCCAAGGUGAGGGACCAAGACAAUGUUUGGGGCUAUAUCCAUGGAGGGUCACACAUACGGAAAUAACCACUACAUUGGUGGAAAAUUUUGGUCUGAUUGAGAAUAACCUCUCUAUGCACCAGCGCCUAGCACAGCACCUGGUACAGGGGAGG